rnacentral:rRNA from 1 species
ACUCCUACGGGAGGCAGCAGUGGGGAAUAUUGCACAAUGGGGGAAACCCUGAUGCAGCGACGCCGCGUGCGGGAUGAAGGCCUUCGGGUUGUAAACCGCUUUCAGCAGGGGCGAAUCAAGACGGUACCUGCAGAAGAAGCGCCGGCUAACUACGUGCCAGCAGCCGCGGUAAUACGUAGGGCGCGAGCGUUGUCCGGAAUUAUUGGGCGUAAAGAGCUCGUAGGCGGCCUGUUGCGUCCGCUGUGAAAUCCCGGGGCUUAACCCCGGGCGUGCAGUGGAUACGGGCAGGCUAGAGGCAGGCAGGGGAGAACGGAAUUCCCGGUGUAGCGGUGAAAUGCGCAGAUAUCGGGAGGAACACCGGUGGCGAAGGCGGUUCUCUGGGCCUGUACUGACGCUGAGGAGCGAAAGCGUGGGGAGCGAACAGGAUUAGAUACCCUGGUAGUCCACGCCGUAAACGUUGGGCGCUAGGUGUGGGUCCCUUCCACGGGGUCUGUGCCGCAGCUAACGCAUUAAGCGCCCCGCCUGGGGAGUACGGCCGCAAGGCUAAAACUCAAAGAAAUUGACGGGGGCCCGCACAAGCGGCGGAGCAUGUUGCUUAAUUCGACGCAACGCGAAGAACCUUACCAAGGUUUGACAUGGGCCGAAAACUCGCAGAGAUGCGGGGUCCUUCGGGGCGGUUCACAGGUGGUGCAUGGCUGUCGUCAGCUCGUGUCGUGAGAUGUUGGGUUAAGUCCCGCAACGAGCGCAACCCUCGUCCAAUGUUGCCAGCGGGUAAUGCCGGGGACUCAUUGGAGACUGCCGGGGUCAACUCGGA